GAUGAACGCUGGCGGCGUGCCUAAUACAUGCAAGUCGAGCGAACGGACGCUAAGCUUGCUUCUCUGAUGUUAGCGGCGGACGGGAGAGUAACACGUGUAUAACCUACCUAUCAGACUGGGAUAACUUCGGGAAACCGGAGCUAAUACCGGAUAAUAUUUUGAACCGUAUGGUUCAAAAGAGAAAGACGGUCUUGCGGUCACUUCUAGCUGGAUCCGCGCUGCAUUAGCUAGUUGUUAAGGUAACGGCUUACCAAGGCAACGAUGCAUAGCCGACCUGAGAGGGUGAUCGGCCACACUGGAGCUGAGACACGGUCCAGACUCCUACGGGAGGCAGCAGUAGGCAAUCGUCCGCAGUGGGCGAGAGCAUGGCGGAGCGACGCCGCGUGAGUGAUGACGGUCUUCGGAUCGUAAAGCUCUGUUAUGAGGGAAGAACAUAUGUGUAAGUAGCUGUGGACAUCGUGACGGUACCUAAUCAGAAAGCCACGGCUAACUACGUG
rnacentral:rRNA from 1 species